CGUAACAAGGUCUCCGUUGGUGAACCAGCGGAGGGAUCAUUAUAGAGUUUUUUAAACUCCCA
rnacentral:rRNA from 1 species